rnacentral:rRNA from 1 species
UACGUAGGGAGCAAGCGUUGUCCGGAAUCAUUGGGCGUAAAGCGCGCGUAGGUGGCCAUGUAAGUCCGCUGUGAAAGUCAAAGGCUCAACCUUUGAAAGCCGGUGGAUACUGCAUGGCUAGAGUACGGAAGAGGCGAGUGGAAUUCCUGGUGUAGCGGUGGAAUGCGCAGAUAUCAGGAGGAACACCAAUAGCGAAGGCAGCUCGCUGGGACGCCACUGACACUGAGGCGCGAAAGCGUGGGGAGCGAACAGG